AGUCGAGCGGAAAGGCCACUUCGGUGGUACUCGCAGCGGCGAACGGGUGAGUAACACGUGAGUAAUCUGCCCCUGGCUUCGGGAUAGCCACCGGAAACGGUGAUUAAUACCGGAUAUGACAGACCCUCGCAUGGGGGUGUGUGGAAAGUUUUUCGGCCAGGGAUGUGCUCGCGGCCUAUCAGCUUGAUGGUGAGGUAAUGGCUCACCAUGGCUUCGACGGGUAGCCGGCCUGAGAGGGUGACCGGCCACACUGGGACUGAGACACGGCCCAGACUCCUACGGGAGGCAGCAGUGGGGAAUAUUGGACAAUGGGCGGAAGCCUGAUCCAGCAACGCCGCGUGAGGGAUGACGGCCUUCGGGUUGUAAACCUCUUUCAGUACCGACGAAGCGCAAGUGACGGUAGGUACAGAAGAAGCACCGGCCAACUACGUGCCAGCAGCCGCGGUAAUACGUAGGGUGCGAGCGUUGUCCGGAAUUAUUGGGCGUAAAGGGCUCGUAGGCGGUUUGUCGCGUCGGGAGUGAAAACGCCGUGCUUAACACGGCGCUUGCUUCCGAUACGGGCAGACUAGAGGUAUUCAGGGGAGAACGGAAUUCCUGGUGUAGCGGUGAAAUGCGCA
rnacentral:rRNA from 1 species